GUGACAUGGUCACAGGCAGGCAGGCCUCGCAGAGGUUUUGUUGACAGCUGAUGAUUGACACUUCGGCAUUAAUGUAACCAGGAACAGUGUUCAAGGAGGAUUUCGUUCUGUACAUAUAAGAAGGACGCGGAGGGACAGAUAAGAUGCCACAUGUGCCCGCCAGCAGCUUGCUAUGGUUCUGAUUCUGUUUUGCAGAGGUGGUACACAGGGAAUAUUCGGCGGCUUCUCAGGACCAGCGACAAAAAGGGAACUCAUAAUAGAAUUUAGGAAAUAGGAGAGGAGCAACAGCAAGCAUCCUGCCUGUGCACAGUCCAUGACUAAAAACCCGCAUCAGGCCAUCACCGGUACCCGUCUACUGAGCAUCGGUGGUAUCGGUGAGAUGAAGUACCUGUGCACCAUGUCUGUCAAGCCUGCUGCUACCUGGCAAGCGAUACACAAGUAACCCCUGCUGCAUCACAACACUACAGAGCAGCUUCUUCACUCAGACCGAAGAACCUUUAACAUGACAUGACUUCCCUCCUUUCUACCUCAGCUUUACAUCUUAUAUAUUAUAUAUACAUGGCUCUAAAAAUACAGACAUUUCAUCCUACUAAUAAAUGGAGAAAUCUCUGUCUUUCUGUCCUUGGAUUUUCUCGACAACCGCUUAUCCGUUCGACUUCAAACUGCACGUGUAUUGUUGAGGACCCAAGGAAGUGCAGUGUGGAAUGUGAAGGUUUUUGGUUGAGCGGUUCUCAAGAAAAAUAUGAAUAGGAACAUUAAAUGACAGUCAGCUUGGGCUGGAGUGACUCAUCCACGCAGCCAACGUCAUCGAUUUGACAACGGCACGUUGCACAGAUGUCUGCGCCCGGUCAAGGCAUGGAUUCCUCCGGAAAACAGGCUGCAGCUACAAAACCUGGCACAGGAUCAUCUAAAGUGUGGGACUAUUUUAGACAGAGACCCAAGCUCUGCUAAUUGUAAAAGGCUUAUCACAGCAGUACAACUUGCUUUGCUCGGUCACUUGAAGCGAAAGCCUCCCGGAGCGCUUUGUUUAAGAUGCAGCAAUAGCAAAACAGCACCGUUUACUUUUUAUCCCCACCCAAGCAGGAUAUAUUAGGAUUAUUAAUUCAAGCUCCGCUGCUGUUCUGAUAAUGUAACGUUACACCAUGCGUCAACAUUUUUAUCUGGCCGUUGUAUAUUUUCUCUUUCCUUUUACGGACGUGAAUGAGUAAGAAAACAGCUUUAUAUGACCUUAAAUCGUUUCAGAUAUUUUCUUUACUGAUGCAAAAAUACACUUGCCAGUGAUUUUCCUUACUGCAUAUUACUCCAGUGCUGAAAUAAAUUCAUGUCAUACUCAUUUUAAGUUUCAAGUUCUUCAGUAAAAAUACUGAUUCUCCAGUUUAGGGAAAGGGUUACUAAAACACACA